rnacentral:ncRNA from 2 species
CAUGCGUUGCCGGGGUGCCCGUCGUGGCGGGCUGAGAUCAUACCCGUUGAACCUGACCCGGGUCAUACCGGCGGAGGGAGCGAGUCAGACCGGCGC